rnacentral:rRNA from 1 species
GACGGAGGGGGCAAGCGUUGUUCGGAAUUACUGGGCGUAAAGGGCUCGUAGGCGGCCAACUAAGUCAGACGUGAAAUCCCUCGGCUUAACCGGGGAACUGCAUCUGAUACUGGAUGGCUUGAGUUCGGGAGAGGGAUGCGGAAUUCCAGGUGUAGCGGUGAAAUGCGUAGAUAUCUGGAGGAACACCGGUGGCGAAGGCGGCAUCCUGGACCGGCACUGACGCUGAGGAGCGAAAGCGUGGGGAGCAAACAGG